rnacentral:rRNA from 1 species
CGGGGGGCAGCAGUGGGGAAUCUUGCGCAAUGGGCGAAAGCCUGACGCAGCAACGCCGCGUGCGGGAUGAAGGCCCUAGGGUUGUAAACCGCUUUCAGUAGGAACGAAAAUGACGGUACCUGCAGAAGAAGGUGCGGCCAACUACGUGCCAGCAGCCGCGGUGACACGUAGGCACCAAGCGUUGUCCGGAUUUAUUGGGCGUAAAGAGCUCGUAGGCGGUUUAGUAAGUCGGGUGUGAAAACUCUGGGCUUACCCCAGAGCCGCCACUCGAUACUGCUGUGACUUGAGUUCGGUAGGGGAGCAGGGAAUUCCUAGUGUAGCGGUGAAAUGCGCAGAUAUUAGGAGGAACACCGGUGGCGAAGGCGCUGCUCUGGGCCGAUACUGACGCUGAGGAGCGAAAGCGUGGGUAGCAAACAGGAUUAGAUACCCGAGU